rnacentral:pre_miRNA from 1 species
AACUUCUGUUUGCCACAGUGGGCGUUUGCCAUACAGCUCACCGGGUAGACAGAAGUUA